GCAUAACUGUGGUAAUUCUAGAGCUAAUACAUGCAUCCGAGCUCGGAUACCCCGCUUCGUCCGUUAAUCGCGGGUCGGGGCGGGGAGAAGAGCGCACUUAUUAGACCUCUAAAACUGGCACCGCGGAUCUCGGUCCGCGGGUCAUUUGAAUUUUCCAUUGGAAUGUAAAUAAUUUCUCCGAGCGCUUACGGUCCUCGUACCGGCGCCGUAUCCAGUGAGCGUCUGCCUUAUCAGCUCUCGAUUGUAGGUUAUGCGCCUACAAUGGCUGUAACGGGUAACGGGGAAUCAGGGUUCGAUUCCGGAGAGGGAGCCUGAGAAACGGCUACCACAUCUAAGGAAGGCAGCAGGCACGCAAAUUACCCACUCCCGGCUCGGGGAGGUAGUGACGAGAAAUAACGAUGUGAGACUCAACCGAGGCCUCGCAAUUGUAAUGAGUUCAAACUAAAUACAUGAACGAGGACCGAGUGGAGGGCAAGUCUGGUGCCAGCAGCCGCGGUAAUUCCAGCUCCACUGGCGUAAAUUAAAGUUGUUGCGGUUAAAAAGCUCGUAGUUGAAUUUCGGAUUCGGACCGGGGGCCCGCAUCACGAGGCGAGUCCUCGCUGCUAACGGGUUUGUCGGAGCUUCGUUCGUGUCGCUCUCGAGCAUGGGACGUUCGGCUAAGGCGUUCUCCAGUCGCGUUUGCGGGGGCCGUUCGGGCUCGCGGGUUCAUCGAUCGCGGCCGGGUUCGUUGCGAGGGAGAUGCGUUCGGUUUAGAGUGCGUGGCGAGUCGUUUAACACCCGCGUCGGUUUGCGCCGUCGUUGCUACGUAUCUCCCGGAUGGCAGCCCUCGCGCCUUUCGAAUUGCAGGUCGCGGUCGCCGCGGAUGUCCCGGCGGAACAACCCUCGUAUUCGCGCGGGGGCGCUCGUUCGCUUCCUUUAAUGCUCGGGCGCCGAUCGUUUUCCACGCCCAGGCGAGCGAUUUUGUCUGGUCGGAUCACCGCCCGGCUCCGAAUUGCUAAGACCGUCCGCUGUCUCGGGGUGCUCUUCACCGAGUGUCCCGCGUAGCGGACACGGUCACUUUGAUAAAAUGAGAGUGCUCAAAGCAGGUUGUUCUAACGCCCGAAUGGCGGUGCAUGGAAUGAUGGAAGAUGACCUCGCUUCCGUUGCCUUUUUGCCGGUUUUUGGAAGCCGAGGUAAUGAUUGAAGGAAACUGACGGGGGCAUUCGUAUUGCGACGCGAGAGGUGAAAUUCUUGGACCGUCGCAAGACGAACUACUGCGAAAGCAUUUGCCAAGAAUGUUUUCAUUAAUCAAGAACGAAAGUUAGAGGUUCGAAGGCGAUCAGAUACCGCCCUAGUUCUAACUGUAAACUAUGCUGACCGGCGAUCCGUCGGAGUCAUUCCCACGACUCGGCGGGACUCCUCCGGGAAACCAGAGUGUCUGAGUUCCGGGGGUAGUAUGGUUGCAAAUCUGAAACUUAAAGGAAUUGACGGAAGGGCACCACCAGGAGUGGAGCCUGCGGCUUAAUUUGACUCAACACGGGGAAACUCACCAGGCCCGGACACCGGAAGGAUUGACAGAUUGAGAGCUCUUUCUCGAUUCGGUGGGUGGUGGUGCAUGGCCGUUCUUAGUUGGUGGAGCGAUUUGUCUGGUUAAUUCCGAUAACGAACGAGAUUCUAGCCUAUUAAAUAGUCGACGGAUCGUAUCCCGAGACCGUUGGGUUCUUCCGGUCGUAUUUCGGCGUUUGGGGCGCUGCGCGGGGCGGUUCGGGGCGUUUUUCGAGUCCCCGCGUCGGUGGCGGUCGUCUUUCGGGGCGUUCGUGGCCGGCGCGUGCGGAGGAGGAGGCGUCUUUACCCGGGCAACUGGGCCGGAUCGUUUCUUUUUUCCGCGUUGUCGUCUCGGCGUCUUCGUCGGAUCCCCUUCGUCAACUCGGGGCGUCCGUCCAUCUUCUUAGAGGGAUCGGCAGCGUCCAGCUGCAUGAGAUGGAGCAAUAACAGGUCUGUGAUGCCCUUAGAUGUCCUGGGCCGCACGCGCGCUACAAUGAGCGGAUCAGCGUGCUUUUCCUUCUCAGAAACGAGAUGGAAACCCCUUGAAAUCCGUCCUCACUGGGGAUUGGGGCUUGUAAAUGUUUCCCAUGAACGAGGAAUUCCUAGUAAGCGCGAGUCACCAGCUCGCGCUGAUUACGUCCCUGCCCUUUGUACACACCGCCCGUCGCUACUACCGAUUGGAUGAUUCAGUGAGGGCAUCGGACUGGCGCCCGCGGACUCGGCUUCGGGUCGCGCUCGUUUUUCGAGCGUCCGUUGACGACCAAAGGGCUGACGGAAAGAUGUCCGAACUUGAUCAUUUAGA
rnacentral:rRNA from 1 species